UACGUAGGGGGCAAGCGUUGUCCGGAUUUAUUGGGCGUAAAGCGCGUGUAGGCGGUUAGGUAGGUCCGUUGUGAAAACUCGAGGCUCAACCUCGAGACGCCGAUGGAAACCAUCUGACUAGAGUCCGGAAGAGGAGAGUGGAAUUCCUGGUGUAGCGGUGAAAUGCGCAGAUAUCAGGAAGAACACCCGUGGCUAAGGCGGCUCUCUAGUACGUGACUGACGCUGAGACGCGAAAGCGUGGGGAGCGAACAGG
rnacentral:rRNA from 1 species